AUUAUGAGCCACAGAAGUUGGAAUAAAGUUUCCAAGGUGAUAGAAGUUUCCAAGAUGAUAGAAGUGGAGACCAGCAGAAGCCCUAAAAGGACCGAAGUAAAACCCCCACCCACCCCAACACAUGCAACUGCAAGUAACUACCAGCAAUUUAUUUUGACAACCCUUUGAGACCAAAAGAAGAGUAAUUACGAAGAAUAUUAAGAUCAACACUGACAGAUGAAGACAUGAGAUACAGGUUUCAGAUACAGGUUUCAUGUACCACUUAACUAGAUUUUGAAAACGUAACUCGUACAUUAUUCAGUCCCUAUUAAAACAGUGAAGUAAAAACACAAAGAAGGAUUGUUUUAAGACUUACAGACGGAACUACUGACAUAGGUUAUGCUACCCAUGCUGUCUUAGACAAGUUCCAGGCAAUGGGGGAGACUCCUGAGAAGAUGGAGGCUG